UAGGAAAGAAGUGUGCGACCGGGACUCGUUUGGCUACAGUUUGUACAUGGUCUCUGAUCACUCACUCAGUACUUUUGUAUUACGGUAUCUAAGGAAUGUGUUUAGUCAGAUGUAAAGUGGUGGCACUUCCACAGUUCUAGUGGCAAACAAAAGCAACACAGGCCAUUUGCUGGAUGAGAGGCUGAAAUGCUCUGUGAAUUCUUCUGGAUUCAUCUUUUAUGAGGAACACUCUUCAGAAGCAUCCAGUCAAAAUCUCUUUCACAGUAAGAGAUAAAACGACCACGAGGUGGCAUUAAAUCCAUGUGAUGGUGCAUCAGACCUUCAGCUGUCAGUUUUCUCUCCAAAUCCCAGGACAGAAGUCCUAACUCAAGGACUGCACUAUCAUGGUGUUCUAUAGCUCCGUACAUAUUUCAGGAGCAGAAGAUCCUCAUGUUACAGUACUGUUGUGCACAACACCUCACUGCCUCCCCUGUGGUUAUCAGUGAGCGGAAUAACAAAUAAUCUGGCAAAAGAGGCCUGCAAUGGACAUCCAAUUUUAUAUUUUUGCAUU